AACGCUGGCGGCAUGCCUAAUACAUGCAAGUCGAACGAAACACUUCGGUGUUUAGUGGCGAACGGGUGAGUAACACGUAUCUAACCUACCUUUUAGAGGGGGAUAAAUAUCGGAAACGAUUGCUAAUACCGCAUAAUAUAUUACAUGAAAACAUGGAAUAUUAAAAGGAGCCUCAAAGCUCUGCUAAAAGAUGGGGGUGCGGCGUAUUAGUUAGUUGGUGGGGUAAUGGCCUACCAAGACCAUGAUACGUAGCCGACCUGAGAGGGUGACCGGCCACAUCGGGACUGAGACACGGCCCGGACUCCUACGGGGGGCAGCAGUAGGGAAUUUUCCACAAUGGACGCAAGUCUGAUGGAGCAAUGCCGCGUGAUUGAUGACGGUUUUAGAACUGUAAAGAUCUGUUAUUAGGGAAGAAAAUUUUAUAUGGGAAAUAAUAUAAAUUUGACGGUACCUAAUCAGAAAGUGACGGCUAACUACGUGCCAGCAGCCGCGGUAAUACGUAGGUCACAAGCGUUAUCCGGAUUUAUUGGGCGUAAAGCGUGCGCGGACGGUUUAAUAAGUUUAGGUUUAAAGGCUGAAGCUCAACUUCAGUUUGACUUAAAAACUAUUAGACUAGAAUGUAGAAGAGGUUAAUGGAAUUUCAUAUGUAGCGGUGGAAUGCGUAGAUAUAUGAAGGAACACCAGAGGCGAAGGCGGUUAACCAGUCUAUGAUUGACGUUUAGGCACGAAAGCGUGGGUAGCAAAUAGGAUUAGAUACCCUAGUAGUCCACGCCGUAAACGAU
rnacentral:rRNA from 1 species